rnacentral:rRNA from 1 species
CCUUAAUACAUGCAAGUCGAGCGAGAAGGUUUACUUCGGUAAACUGGAAAGCGGCGCACGGGUGAGUAACGCGUACACAACCUACCUUUUAGAGGGGGAUAGCCUCGGGAAACUGAGAUUAAUACCCCAUGUGAUUAUGUUUUUGCAUAGAGAUAUAAUUAAAGAUCCGUCGCUAAAAGAUGGGUGUGCGUAUGAUUAGAUAGUUGGUGAGGUAACGGCUCACCAAGUCAACGAUCAUUAGGGGGCGUGAGAGCGUGAUCCCCCACACGGGUACUGAGACACGGACCCGACUCCUACGGGAGGCAGCAGUAAGGAAUAUUGGACAAUGGGCGCAAGCCUGAUCCAGCCAUCCCGCGUGUAGGAUGACUGCCCUAUGGGUUGUAAACUACUUUUGUCAGGGAAGAAAUGCCUGGGUUUACCUGGGCCUGACGGUACCUGAAGAAUAAGCACCGGCUAACUCCGUGCCAGCAGCCGCGGUAAU